UACGUAGGGUGCAAGCGUUAAUCGGAAUUACGGGGCGUAAAGCGCGUGUAGGCGGCUUGGCAAGUCGGAUGUGAAAGCCCACGGCUCAACCGUGGAAGCGCACCCGAAACGGCCUCGCUCGAGUCUCGGAGAGGAAGGUGGAAUGCUUGGUGUAGAGGUGAAAUUCGUAGAUAUCAAGCAGAACACCUGCGGCGAAGGCGGCCUUCUGGACGAUGACUGACGCUGAGACGCGAAAGCGUGGGGAGCAAACAGG
rnacentral:rRNA from 1 species